CGUGUAGAUGUGUGCUCAAUUUGUCUUCUCUUCUCUAUUCUUCUUCUCUCUGAAUUCAAUACUACAGAUCGAAGUUCAUUGUGCAUGUGAGAAUCGUGUAGAUGUGUGCUCAAUUAGUGCAAGUUGAAAAGACUCGAUAAACUAUCCUAUGACAAUCAGUUUAAAUGGGCUUGGGUGAUUAAGAUUCUAUUAGUUGGGCGUUUUCUUAAUCGAAGGCCAGUAAAAGCACUUUAUUUUCUUUCCUAUAAGAAUGUUUUCUAAACAUUAUUAGGCCGUCUCAACCUAGACUAGAAAUUUGAUGGUAAUCAGUUGUGGUCAAUUGGUAACCAUUAGAGUUCUGUAGGUGGUUGACUGCUAGUUGGCAGUCCCAUGGGUUCUCCUUUUUUAACAAUUUUUCAUGUGUUUUCCUCAGACAAGUUCUAUUGUGGGGGGGAGGAAACAAAUUAUGGCUCCACAUUGCUGGCAAAAUGAACGGAGAGCAGAUAAAACGAACCAGUGCCAUGUCACUUCGAGUUUGUCCAGCUGCUAUGAUUCACCAUGAAUCAAAUGAAAGGCGACUUGAAAGUGCUUGCCACAUCCCUGAUACUCGUGCUGAUCAUCGAUGUUUCAGUGAUGAUAAUUGUGGUAUUGAUGCCAACACCUGCAGACGGAGGUCAUGCAGUAUGGCGGGAUACUGUGGUCUCUGGUCGUACAUAUAAAAGGAUGUAUAUCUUCAAAUUCUUUUGCAACAGUCAUGGUACACAGGUUCUAGGGAAAUCAUUCAUUUUUGUAUACUAUAUCUUAGAGUCAAAAGGUAUAUGAGAUAUAGGCCAAGAUGAAAAUGUAACAGACACUCAAAAAGCUGUCACAUGAAUUCUCUUGAUAUGUGCUUAAAAGCAUUAAGAGCGUGCCAGAAUGAAGUUAAUCAAAAGAUAAGCAUUUUGCUGCCACAAGAAUUAUAUUAUUGGCUUGUAAUGUCUCUGUAGCAUGUCUUAUAUUAGCAGUUCGAGCGUGAAAACAAGGAAGAGAAAGCAAGAGCUAGAUGUUUGUUAUUUAUCUUUCACCUUGUUCUUGUAAUCCAGGUGGAAAUUUUGAGAAAUUUCUGCAGUAUUUCUGGUUUAA